rnacentral:rRNA from 1 species
AUUGAACGCUGGCGGCAGGCCUAACACAUGCAAGUCGAGCGGAGCGGCGGACGGGUGGGUAAUGACUAGGAGUCGGCCUGGUAGUGGGGGGUAACGUACGGAAACGGGCGCUAAUACAGAAUACUCUCAGAUGAGCGUAGGUCGGUUGGGUUAGUUGGUGGGGUAGAGGCCGACCAAGGCGACGAUCCGUAACUGGUCUGAGAGGAUGAUCAGUCACACUGGAACUGAGACACGGUCCAGACUCCUACGGGAGGCAGCAGGGGGGAAUAUUGGACAAUGGGCGAAAGCCUGAUCCAGCCAUGCCGCGUGUGUGAAGAAGGUCUUCGGAUUGUAAAGCACUUUAAGUUGGGAGGCGUUACCAACAGAAGAAGCACCGGCUAACUUCGUGCCAGCAGCCGCGGUAAUUC